UUACAUUGAAAAGAUAUUAAAUUUAAUUAAUUUGAGGGGGAAAAAUUAAUAAUUAUUAUAUUA
rnacentral:tRNA from 1 species